UGAGUAACCUGCCCUUAACUUCGGGAUAAGCCUGGGAAACCGGGUCUAAUACCGGAUACAACGGACCACCGCAUGGCGGUCCGUGGAAAGCUUUAUGCGGUUUUGGAUGGACUCGCGGCCUAUCAGCUAGUUGGUUGGGGUAAUGGCCCACCAAGGCGACGACGGGUAGCCGGCCUGAGAGGGUGACCGGCCACACUGGGACUGAGACACGGCCCAGACUCCUACGGGGGGCAG
rnacentral:rRNA from 1 species